rnacentral:snRNA from 1 species
GGAUGUGAGGGUGAUCUGGCUGCAACAUCUGUCACUCCAUUGAUCGCGAGGGUUGAUUUAGCUGAUCUGGCUGGCCAGGUGCGUGUCCCCUUCCUCCCUUCAGGUGAGUCCCUCCCAAAGCUGCGCACUCAGUUGAAGAGGACAACCACCCCUAUAGAGGAGGACCAUUUUCUUGGUCAGGGACAUACAAGUCGCUGCGCUCCCUGGCUAGAUCCUCCAAACAAGUUCUUAAAGGUUGCCUUCUGGGUUUGUUAUAGAAAACCAUAUAAAUACAAAAUGAGAUACAUUCGGACAGUUUCAGAAU